GAUAAAGACCUAGUUUGGCGAACUCUGCUGAUAGUUUUUCAUACCAGCAACGGGGUGCCUGCUUCAACCCGUAAAUAGACUUCUGCAGCUUGCACGCAAGCGACCGGUCACUGGAUGCAUACCCAGGCGGUUGCUCCAUCCACAACUCCUCCUUCAGCUCACCAUUCAGAAACGCAGUAGACACAUCGAGCUGAUGUACCGUCAUGUUCCGGGCUGCGGCAAUUGCUAAUAAAGCACGCAAUGACGAACCACGAGAGGUAGGGGCAAACAACUCCCCAUAAUCAAUCCCCUCACGUUGCUCGAAACCCUUGGCAACUAAACGCGCCUUAAAACGUUCCACGCUGCCGUCAUCGCUGUACUUAACCUUAUAUACCCAACGACACGGCAACAAACGAGUACCAGGAGGUGGCUUCUUCAGCUCCCAAGUACUAUUAGCCAUCUGGGCGGCGAUCUCCUCGUCCAUCGCACGCCGCCAGUCGUCUGCAUGUGGACUAGCAAUUGCUUCCUCAAACGAAUUAGGCUCAUGAAUACCAGCAGAGAAAGCAGCGUUAACGCGACCAGUGACAGUGCGACCAGGUUCGUUUCGCCACCAUUCGCCAGGGCGUUUACGCUCUCUAACUGGGUACCUAGUUCCCGCCAUUUCCACAUCAGGCUGAUUGAUUCCUUGCCCGUUCGCACUGCUGGAAGGUCCAGCCCCAGCCGGCGCCCCCUCGCCACCCAAAUGCGGCGAUCCCUCGCCGACGGUGCUACCUGGUGUCCCUUCGCCAGCCCUAGGCAGCGAUCCCUCACCAGAUAAACUAGUGCGAAACUCCUCCUCCUCGUCGGCAUCGGACUCAUAAUCGGAGUCCCCGGCAUUACGCCGCCGGCCGACAUUAGACUCGUCAAAACGAACGUUAGAAACUACGGCAAUAAUGCCGUCCUCGUAUAGUACACGAUACUGUCCACCGUUCCCGUAUCCGACAAGUAUUCCACGCCUGCUCACCGGGUCGAACUUGUCGCGCUUGACGUCGGGUACGUGGACGUAGGCAACGCAUCCAAAGACUCGCAGGUGACUGACGUUCGGACGAACAUUAAAGAAAGCUUCGUACGGAGUGACGGUUGACCCAGCAGUUGGCGACACAUUCUUAAGAUAGUUGGCGGUCGCUAACGCCUCCGCCCAUAAUGAUUUAGGCAGUCCAGACUCAACUAGCAUAGCCCUAGUCUUGUCCAAAAGAGUGCGAUUUAAACGUUCUGCAGCUCCGUUCUGCUCAGGGGUGUAGCCUACCGUAGUUCCGUGUAGAAUACCCCUGGAAGCGAAAUAGGCCUUCGUGCGAGUAUUAACGAAUUCCCCGCCACGAUCUGUACGCACCUCCUUAACCUGCCUGCCAGUAGCGCGCUCCAGUUCCGCUAUCAUUACCACCAUCUUCUGGUAGACCUCCUCCUUGGUCGCUGUAAACGCAACAGCUGAAAGACCAGUAUGGUCGUCAAGCAGGGUUGUCACGUAACGCGAACCACUAGGCGAAGGUUCAGGCAUAGGCCCACACACAUCCAUGUGAAUGAGCGCGAGAGGCUGCGCUGCCUUAUGCCCAGAUAACGGAAAAGGACCACGUGUAUGUUUAGCAAGGACGCAAGUCUCACACACACACGUGCUGGCUGAUUGUAUGCUGUGUCGGUCAACAUCAAAUCCAGCUACCAUAUUAUGACGCAGUAACGUCUCAAGGUUGCUGUAUCCCAAGUGGCCAUACCUUCGGUGCCAAAGUGCUGCACGUUCAGCUCCGAUACCCACGGCAGCACACACUGCAUCACCACCAGAAGGUAUCCUGUUGUCUUCACGCUGCGUCCUCUUCAGAGCUCCCGUACCUCCACUGCUGUAGCAGACGGGAUACAAGUCCCCAUCUCGCUUUCCAGUCAGCACCAACUGGUUCUGUACGUAUACUUUCGCCUGUCCGCCGCCGAAGACCACACUGCCUCCACGAUCAUCAAUGAUGCGGACCGAUAUGAUUUUGGCGGUGGCCUCCUCGUCGACGUAGACCUUCUUGAAAGUGAUGGCCUGUUUAUCGUUGACGUUAGACCGAAUCAUAAGCGUGCCAACUUCAGUCGGCCGAAGAGACUGUCCCUUGAUGCCCAUGAUGUUGAAGCGCUCCCAUGGCUCCAAUAACCGCACGUUGGAAAGUUCUGAGCGGUCAUAAGUUAUGUGGUGAGUGGCGGCUGAGUCCAGAAACCAUUCCGUCGGACGAUUGCUGUUGUAUGCCACGAAUGCUACCUGCCGCGGAACUCCUGGCCUCCUAGCUGAUCCACCUGAUCCUGGCUUGCUGCCGCUAGCUCCGCUGCCACUACCUCCGUUACCACUGUUGCUGUAGCCACCCUUGUAGCCAGAAUUUGACGACUGCUUCAGCGCCUUAAGCUGCCUGCAGUCCUUAACCACGUGCCCAGGUUUAUUACAGUAGUAGCAGAUGACUUGCUUCCGACUAUGUCCCGAGCUGUUGUUAGCCGGCCCCCGGCUACCAUAACCAGAAGUAGAAGCGCCGAACGUCGAACCGCCGACAGACGCGAAGGCUGCCGACUCGGUAGGCUUGCCCGACCCACCGUUAGCCGUCUCGAUAGAGAGAAGCUUUGCUGUGACGCUCGCCAUGUCCAAAUCGCCGUCGCGCAUAAGUAAUGUAGUCGUCACCACGCUGUACCGACUGGGUAGACCAACUAGCACGGUGUACGCCAGCUCGGAGUCGUUAACUACGUGGCCGACUCCCAAUAAAUCUGUUUGCAGCUGCCUUGCACGCGCAAAGUACAUCGGAAGAGGUUCGCCGUCGACCAUCUUAAAACGGCUGAAUUCUUGACGUAGAGACACCUUGCGGGCGUUGUUGUUGGCAGCAAACAUAGAUCCCAAGGCGUCCCAGGCCUUCUUCGCGUUGGCAGCACCGGUAACCAUAGGCAAAUGAUGAUCCUUGACGUUCUUGAUGAGCAGAUUGAUGACCUUCCGUGACUGUCGAAUUUGCUCCUCGUUGCACGGCUCGGCGAGCAGGGAUUGCUCAAGCCCAAGCUCCAUGCACAACGCGCUGAACCGAAUUUGCCAGGUAGAGUAAUUGUUGAGAUCCAGCGACUCAUCAAGCUUGUCCAUAACCAUUGUUGAUGAGGGAUAGAAAUAACAAUUGGCCGAUAACUGUCGGCGCUAACCGGGGCUCAUAACCUAUUAAGACCAGCAAAGCGCCGGACCCCCGUUGGGUCCUAUUACUGUGGCUACCAUUCACUGGUAUAUGAGUGUCGGUCAUUUCCAAUACCCCCCCGUGAGCGAAACUCUCGCGCUCCGGGUCUUCCCGUGCCUCAUCCCGGACUCCCAUUCUCUGGACAACAGCCAGUGGGUAUCGAUCCGGCGACCUCUCGGCAGCGCAAUGCGCCAUUCGGGGCUCAUAACCUAUUGGAGAAUUGGCGACGGUGACAGCUAACGCUUAUUGUUAUUCCGGAAGGAUUGCCGGUGGCGAAGAUAUUUAGCACGAUAAAAUGUUACAAGUAAUGUAAAGAGUAUUGUUAGCGUUCGGCAGGACUUGAGGAGAUUCCUGGUAGGAAUACCGAUCGUUGUGAGAUAAACUAAUAGGCGCAGUCACCGCCCUAAAUACCGGCGCUAGCGGAAAACUCGUACAUUCCGCGAUCUAACUGCACGUACAUUCCGCGAUCUCACUGCGCCGUCCAGACGGUGCCCUAAUGUCUAUCACUUAGCUACCGGAUAUGCAUCGGUAGCCCCAUAAGGUUCUGGGAUAAGUCUUCCCCAUUAGUCAGACGCAGACCCGGGGUCAAAUCCCCUCGUCGACAACCACACGAGUUGGGAGAGGACCGAUUCCUCAACAAUGACCGCUCAGAACUUUUCAACGUGCGGUUGUUGGAGCCGUGGGAGCGCUUCAACAUCAUGGGCAUCAAGGGACAAUCUCUUCGACCGACUGAAGUUGGCACGCUCACGAUUCGGUCUAACGUCAACGAUAAACAGGCCAUCACUUUCAAGAAGGUCUACGUCGACGAGGAGGCCACCGCCAAAAUCAUAUCGGUACGCAUCAUUGAUGAUCGUGGAGGCAGUGUGGUCUUCGGCGGCGGACAGGCGAAAGUAUACGUACAGAACCAGUUGGUGCUGACUGGAAAGCGGGAUGGGGACUUGUAUCCCGUCUGCUACAGCAGUGGAGGUACGGGAGCUCUGAAGAGGACGCAGCGUGAUGACAACAGGAUACCUUCUGGUGGUGAUGCAGUGUGUGCUGCCGUGGGUAUCGGAGCUGAACGUGCAGCACUUUGGCACCGAAGGUAUGGCCACUUGGGAUACAGCAACCUUGAGACGUUGCUGCGUCAUAAUAUGGUAGCUGGAUUUGAUGUUGACCGACACAGCAUACAAUCAGCCAGCACGUGUGUGUGUGAGACUUGCGUCCUUGCUAAACAUACACGUGGUCCUUUUCCGUUAUCUGGGCAUAAGGCAGCGCAGCCUCUUGCGCUCAUUCACAUGGAUGUGUGUGGGCCUAUGCCUGAACCUUCACCUAGUGGUUCGCGUUACGUGACAACUCUGCUUGACGAUCAUACUGGUCUUUCAGCUGUUGCGUUUACAGCGACCAAGGAGGAGGUCUACCAGAAGAUGGUGGUAAUGAUAGCGGAACUGGAGCGCGCUACUGGCAGGCAGGUUAAGGAGGUGCGUACAGAUCGUGGCGGGGAAUUCGUUAAUACUCGCACGAAGGCCUAUUUCGCUUCCAGGGGUAUUCUACACGGAACUACGGUAGGCUACACCCCUGCGCAGAACGGAGCUGCAGAACGUUUAAAUUGCACACUUUUGGACAAGACUAGGGCUAUGCUCGUUGAGUCUGGACUGCCUAAAUCAUUAUGGACGGAGGCGUUAGCGACAGCCAACUAUCUUAGGAAUGUGUCGCCAACUGCUGGUUCAACCGUCACUCCGUACGAAGCUUUCUUUAAUGUUCGUCCGAACGUCAGUCACCUGCGAGUCUUUGGAUGCGUUGCCUACGUCCACGUACCCGACGUCAAGCGCGACAAGUUCGACCCGGUGAGCAGGCGUGGAAUACUUGUCGGAUACGGGAACGGUGGACAGUAUCGUGUACUAUACGAGGACAGCAUUAUUGCCGUAGUUUCUAACGUUCGUUUUGACGAGUUUAAUGUCGGCCGGCGGCGUAAUGCCGGGGACUCCGACUAUGAGUCCGAUGCCGACGAGGAGGAGGAGUUUCGCACUAGUUUAUCUGGUGAGGGAUCGCUGCCUAGGGCUGGCGAAGGGACACCAGGUAGCACCGUCGGCGAGGGAUCGCCGCAUUUGGGUGGCGAGGGGGCGCCGGCUGGGGCUGGACCUUCCAGCAGUGCGAACGGGCAAGGAAUCAAUCAGCCUGAUGUGGGUGGAAAUGGCGGGAACUAGGUACCCAGUUAGAGAGCGUAAACGCCCUGGCGAAUGGUGGCGAAACGAACCUGGUCGCACUGUCACUGGUCGCGUUAACGCUGCUUUCUCUGCUGGUAUUCCUGAGCCUAAUUCGUUUGAGGAAGCAAUUGCAAGUCCACAUGCAGACGACUGGCGGCGUGCGAUGGACGAGGAGAUCACCGCCCAGAUGGCUAAUAGUACUUGGGAGCUAAAGAAGCCACCUCCUGGUACUCGUUUGUUGCCGUGUCGUUAUGUAUAUAAGGUUAAGUACAGCGAUGACGGCAGCGUGGAGCGUUUUAAGGCGCGUUUAGUUGCCAAGGGUUUCGAGCAACGUGAGGGGAUUGAUUAUGGGGAGUUGUUUGCCCCUACCUCUCGUGGUUCGUCAUUGCGUGUUUUAUUAGCAGUUGCCGCAGCGCGGAACAUGACGGUACAUCAGCUCGAUGUGUCUACUGCGUUUCUGAAUGGUGAGCUGAAGGAGGAGUUGUGGAUGGAGCAACCGCCUGGGUAUGCAUCCAGUGACCGGUCGCUUGCGUGCAAGCUGCAGAAGUCUAUUUACGGUUUAAAGCAGGCACCCCGUUGUUGGUAUGAGAAACUAUCAGCAGAGUUCGCCAAGUUGGGUCUUUAUCCUUCGAAGUCUGAUCCGGCGAUGUUCGUUAAGACUGACGAGCGUGGGGUUGUUAUUGCUUUGGUGCACGUAGAUGACACAAUUGUUGCGUCGGAAGACCCAGAAAUGGUCCGGGCAAUUAAAGCUGCAAUUGCGAAGGUCUUCAAGGUGCGCGACCUUGGAGAAGCGAAGGUGUUUUUGGGCAUGGAAAUUAGGAGGGAGAAGUCGGGUGAGAUAGUGUUGUCGCAGCAUAGGUAUAUUGCGCAGCUGUUGGAGCGUCAUAGGAUGAUUGACGCCAAGCCGAGGUCUACCCCUUUGCCUCCGGGCUUUAGGUACACUCCUAAGGGGGACGGAGAGGAGCUGCUGGGCAAUCCCACCGAGUAUAGGGCUUUGGUGGGAGAAUUGAACUAUCUGGCGACGAACACGCGGCCUGACAUUUCAUAUGCAUUGAGCGUUUUGUCCCGGCAUAUGGCCGCACCCACGAAGUGUGCCAUGAACCUGGCAACUGGCGUUCUGCGUUACCUGGCGGGUACUCGCGAACUAGGAUUGCGUUUUGGGGGUGUUGGCGACGAUGCUAUGUCCGGGUACAGUGAUUCUGACUGGGCAGGAGACCCAGUUACGCGGCGUUCUACGUCCGGUUACGUAUUCACUCUUAAUGGGGCUGCGAUUAGCUGGAGCAGCCAACUACAACGUACUGUGGCGGCUUCGUCGGUGGAGGCUGAGUACCAAGCUACAGCGGCGGCUGUUCGUGAGGCUUUGUGGCUUCGCAAGCUGAUGGUUGAUUUGAGCUUGCCUGAGAGCGCGGUGAAAAUCCAGAUAGACUCCCAGGGGGCGCUUAGCUUGGGAAGCAACCCGAUUACGUCUGCUCGGUCGAAGCACAUCGACGUGCAGCAUCACAUAGUGCGUGAGAGGGUGAAUAGCUGUGAGGUGCAGUUAGAAUACUGCCCUACGGAGUGGAUGGUUGCGGAUGUACUAACGAAGGCUCUGGGCGAGGUGAAGUUCAAACGUUGCCGAGAUGCUAUGGGCCUUGUGUGAAGUGUGCAGAUGAACUUGGUACUCGUUGGGAUACGGCCCGAGGGGGCGUGUUGAGGAAACGGUCCUCUCCCAACUCGUGUGGUUGUCGACCAGGGGAUUUGACCCCGGGUCUGCGCCUGACUAAUGGGGAAGACUUACCCCAGAACCUUAUGGGGCUACCGAUGCAUAUCCGGUAGCUAAGUGAUAGACAUUAGGGCACCGUCUGGACGGCGCAGUGAGAUCGCGGAAUGUACGUGCAGUUAGAUCGCGGAAUGUACGAGUUUUCCGCUAGCGCCGGUAUUUAGGGCGGUGACUGCGCCUAUUAGUUUAUCUCAUAACGAUCGGUAUUCCUACCAGGAAUCUCCUCAAGUCCUGCCGAACGCUAACAAUACUCUUUACAUUACUUGUAACAGUUUAUCGUGCUAAAUAUCUUCGCCACCGGCAAUCCUUCCGGAAUAACAAUUAGCGUUAGCUGUCACCGUCGCCAAUUCUUCAAUAGCGGUGAUUUGCUUCUAUUGCAGCAAGCCUGGGCCCGGUGGGUCUAGCAAGGGAUCAGUUUUCCCGAAGCAGGUUGCGUUUGUAGCUUACAACAGUAAGCGUCUGAGGGAUCCUUGUUGAUGUUGUUACAGGGUGGCUAAGCUUCACCAGUGGCCUCCUACCCGAGGCAAUUCCCUGCUCUCCCCUGCUAGAGGGGCACCCUAAGCCAUUCACCCCAUCCGACUUCAGAGUGUACUCUUUGAGUUUGGCAACUCACCACCAGCAUCCAACCAAAUCUAGCGGAUCAACGGCGCGUCAACUUAGUUCCUGGUCAGCUCGCGAGUUGAUUUUAUCACGUCCUACACCGUCCACAAGAUGGGGGGCCACCUCCCAUUUCAUCUCCUCUCAAACACCCCGAGAGGUCGGCAGGCGGAUUUGAACCCGGACGCGCCGUGACGCGACGGGAGCAGAAGCCAGGCCUUAGCUUGUUGAAGGGCGGUCCUAUCCCAACGUAGAUAGGUGGUAGUUAGGCGAUGAAUCCGCUGUGAUAGGCGAUGAAUCCGCUGUGAUAGGCGAUGCCUCGGACGUGCGUCGACCUUGCCUCGGCCGUGCCUCGACCUUGCCUCGGGUCUCUCGGCCGCGUGUCUCGGACGUGUCCUCAGGUCCAGGGAUGGUGGACGACUGUACGAUACUUUCGUUGGUAUCGGUACAUAAGACCAAAAUGGUGCAUGUCUUUCUAUCUCAUCUUCGGAUGGAUCGGCAUUCCUUCAUAGGAAUCUCCUAAAGUCUUCUUGCCGUUCACCAUUAACCCACAGACUGUAACCUUUAUAUCGCGAGCAGUCUCCUUGCCUUCACAUUCUUAACAACUUCUAGUAUCGCUGUCGCUUGCAAAAACGAGGCACGGUUCGGCGAGCAAACACUGCUCAAGCCAUGCACAUCACACUAAAACCUGAUUUUCCACGUGGAGUAGUUGUGGAGGUCCAGCGGCUCAUCAAGCUUAUCCUUGACCAUUGUCGAUAAGGGAUAGAAAACAAUCGAACGAUAGCUGUCGGCGCUAUAACCUAUUGGAGAAUUGGCGACGGUGGCAUCUAGCGACGACUGCUAUUUCGGAAAGGAAUGCCGGCGGCGAAGAUAUUGAACACGAAAAACUGUUGAAGGACGGGCCUAUCCAAACAUAGAUAAGUGGUAGUUAGGCGAUGAAUCCGCCGUGAUAGGCGAUGCCUCGGCCGUGCCUCGACCUUGCCUCGACCAUGACUCGACCUUGCCUCGGGUCUCUCAGCCGCGUAUCUGGGACGUGUCCUCAGGUCCAGGGAUGGUGGACAUCUUAACGAUACUUCCAUUGGUACUGGUAUAUAAGACACGAGUUGUGCAAGUCUUAGUAUCUCAUCUUUGUAUGGAUCGGUAUUCCUUAGUAGGAAUCUCCUAAAGUCUUCCUGCCGUUCACCACUCACCUACCGAUUGUAAUACUUACAUCGCAACCAGUCUCCUUGCCUCCUUCAUAUUCUUAACAGGUUAUGAGCCCCGGCUCACGCUAGUAGCUUACAUAGCUAGCGCGAAGAAGGCAUAGGACGCCUACAAGCAAUUACAGUCGGACUUGUUUGGGAGUAGGACACGUUAUCAGCGAUUCUGAGCGGGCACACACCUUGCUUGUUGGUUUGCCCAGCCGCUUCAGCAUGGUAACGACAUCCCUACUGGUGCGUGACGGCGAUUCGGACAUGGCUAUCGUCACCUCGAAGUUCUUGACUAUCGAGAUGGCAAGCGGUGGCUCUGGUAAGCCUACCGAGUCGGCAGCUUUUGCUUCUGUCGGCAGUUUUUCGUUUGGCGCCUCUGGUUCUGGUCUUGGGAAUCGUGGCGCAGCCAGCAGCAGUUCUGGCGUUCCUCUCCAAGAGGUGAUUUGCUUCUAUUGCAGCAAGCCUGGGCCCGGUGGGUCUAGCAAGGGAUCAGUUUUCCUGGAGCAGGUUGCGUUUGUAGCUUACAACAGUAAGCAUCUGAGGGAUCCUGGCCGAAUAUGGGAAUGGAGGACAGUAUCGUGUUGUGUACGUCCCCAAUGUCCGCCUUGAUGAGUUUAAUGUCGGCCGGCGGCACAAUGCCCGGGAUUCCGAUGAUGGGUCCGAUACUGACGAGGGUUGCACACUAGUUUGCCUGGUGAGGGGUCGCUGCCUAGGGCUGGCGAAUGGACAUCAGGCAAUACCGUCAGCACGGGAUCGCCGCAUUUGGGUGACGAGGGGGCGCUGGCUGGGGCUGGACCUCCCAGAAGUGUGAAUGUGCAAGGCAAUACACACCCUGAUGUGGAAAUGCUGGGGGCUCGGUGUUCAGUUAGGGAAUACAAACGUCCUGGCGAGUGGUGAUGAAAUGAAUGCGGUCGAUGUGCUACAGGCCGAGUCAUUGCUGCAGUAUCUGCUGGGAUUCAGAGCCUAACCUUUAUGCCGAAGCCAUCCCAGGCCCACAUGCAGACGACUGGCGGCAGUGAGUGUCGCGAAAUUUCUGUAUCCGGUAGACCCCGCUGGAUAGCAUGGAUUGCAGCAGACGAUCAUUUGCUGCAACUACAAACGGAUGGGCCGUAUAGCUCGGAGUUGAAGAGAGAGCCGCAGCCUAACGUGCAGGGAAGGAGUGGAGGUGGUCUUGGCGCCCGCACCCUCACGUGGGAGGUGGGGUAGCAUGCCUCAACAGACAGGCGGUGGCGGCGGUGCAGUGAUGCCGUGUAUUUUGUUUGCUGCAAGAUAAGAACCACUAUCAAUUGUCUGACUCCGAAGCGGCUAGUAUUGGUGUACCUGAGUCAGGGCCUCUACCAAGCUCUGGUAGACUUAGGAACCACAGUCGGCUAGGCACCACUGUCACCUGUGGAUGGUAAAGGAAUGCCGGAUGAAGCCGGAACAUCCAGUGGUGCACGCCAGCGCAGGAGUACAGAAGAAGAGGGCAGGGAACAUGAGGAGAUAUUGUGGCCUUCGGAGUGGUGGUGUGGUGAUGCAGGAAGGAGGAUAGGAGGUCGCAUUAACCUGGCUGUCAUUGAUCCGAACCCUGCUGAACUUUUGCUGAGUAAAUACUUUCACUGAAGCCAUUUCAGGUGCAAAUGCAAAUGAGUGGCGCAGAGUGAUGGUCGAGGAGAUUGCUGCAUUAGCAGCUAACGGCACUUGUGAGCUGUGUGCACAGCCUCUUGAUGUGCUAAUGCACCGGUGGUUGUACAAUUUGAAAAGAGUGGAAGGUGACACGGUAAAGCGCUUUUUUGCAUGGCUAGUUGCAAAGAUGUACGAGAAGUACGAGAACUUGGAGAAGCGCAGGUGUUUUGGGGCAUGGAAAUACUGAGGAUGAAGCCGGGUGAAUUGGUGUUGUCGCAAUAAUGAGCAGCUAUUGGAGCGUCACCAGACGGUGGACGCCAAGCAACGGUCUACCCCUUUGCCUCCGGGUUUUGGGUGCACACCUACGGGGGAUAGAGAUGAGCUGCUGGAUCCCAUGGCGCAAAGGGCUUUGGUGGGAGAGUUGGACUACCUAGCGACUAACACUCGGCCUGACAUCCCUUAUGCAUGGAGUGUUUUGUCCCGGCAUAUGGCCACACCUACGAAGACUGCCAUGAACUUGGCAACCGGCGUUCUGCGUUACCUGGCGGGUACUCGCGAACUAGGAUUGCGUUUUGGAGGUGUUGGCGGUGUUGCAAUGUCCGGGUACAGCGAUUCGGACUGGGCAGGAGACCCAGUUACGCGGCGUUCUACGUCGGAUUACGUAUUCACUCUUAAUGGGGCUGCGAUUAGCUGGAGCAGCCAACUUCAACGUACUGUGGCGGCUUCGUCGGUGGAGGCCGAGUACCAAGCUACAGCGGCGGCUGUUCGUGAAGCUUUGUGGCUUCGCAAGCUGAUGGUCGAUUUGGGCUUGCCUGAGAGCGCGGUGAAAAUCCAGAUAGACUCCCAGGGUGCGCUUAGCUUGGGAAAUCAUCCGAUUACGUCUGCUCGGUCGAAACACAUCGACGUGCAGCACCAUAUAGUGUGUGAGGGUGAAUAGCGGGGAGGUGCAGUUGGAGUACUGCCCUACAGAGUGGAUGGUAGCGGAUGCGCUCACGAAGGCACUGGGAGAAGUGAAGUUCAAACGGUGCAGAGAAGCUAUGGGCGUUGUGUGAAGUGCCCGUUGGCGGAGCAUAUGUGCUACUGCGAGAUGGGAUAUGUCCCAAGGGGGCGUGUUGAAGGGCGGUCCUAUCCCAACGUAGGUCUGGUCUGGGUUGACACUACUGCGAUUCGCGGUUUAAGGUCCUGGGUUCGAUUCCUGGGGAGACCCCCGAAUUAGUCGGGAGCGCGAGAUUAUGGCUAGCUGCUGAGAUGUGGAGUUGAGGUCGCAGUUGAUGGACCAGAUUCGCACGCUAGAUUGGUGGCGAUUGCCGAACCCUCCGUCUCUUCGGUUGUUUGGGUGAAUGGAUGAGGAGGGGUCCUAGACGGCUGGACCCGCCGCCUUGGACUUACAGUUCGUAUGGCGAAGUAUAGUGUGGUAGUGGUGGACGGUGCUAUAAGAUGAUAAAUCGUAGAACUGACAAUGUGAUAAAGCGGCCCAGAAGCCUCCCACUCUGUAACAUUACAUUACAACGUAGAUAGGUGGUAGUUAGGCGAUGAAUCCGCGAUGCCUCGGACGUGUGUUGACCUUGCCUCGGCCGUGCCUCGAGCUUGCCUCGGGUCUCUCGGCCGUGUAUCUCGGACGUGUCCUCAGGUCCAGGGAUGGUGGACGACAGUACGAUACUUCCAUUGGUAUCGGUACAUAAGACCAGAGUGGUGCAUGUCUUUCUAUCUCAUCUUCGGAUGGAUCGGUAUUUCUUCAUAGGAAUCUCCUAAAGUCUUCUUGCCGUUCACCACUAACCCACAGACUGUAACCCUUAUAUCGCGACCAGUCUCCUUGCCUUCACAUUCUUAACAACUUCUAGUAUCGCUGUCGCUUGCAAAAACGAGGCGUUCACAUUUCGACACAUUUGGGCGCAUCCCAAAAUCAUCACAGAACAUGUCCACAAUGUUGAGCAACUCCCCCAUGCGUCCCGGUGUUGUUGCCAGAAGGCUAACGUCGUCGACAUGGAAGAGGAUGGACACUCGCUCAUUUCCAACCUCCGGUACAUCCUCUGCCCGUGCCCCGGUAUUAAUACCGUCGUGCAUAUCGAUUGAUGAGGACUCGGUCCUCUCCCAACUCACAUGGUUGUAGACCAGGGGAUUUGACGUCGGGUCUGUGACUAACUACUGGGGAAGACUUAGCCCAGAACUUUAUGGGGCUACCGAUGCAUGUCAGGUAGCUAAGUGAUAGACAUUUGGGCACCGUCAGGACGGCGCAGUGAGAUCGCGGAAUGUACGUGCAGUUAGAUCGCGGAAUGUACGAGUUUUCCGCUAGCGCCAGUAUUUAGGGCGGUGACUGCGCUUAUUUGUUUAUCUCACAACGAUCGGUAUUCCUCAAAGGAAUCUCCUCAAGUCCUGCCGAACGCUAAUAAUACUCUUUACAUAACUUGUAACAUUUUAUCGUGCUAAAUAUCUUCGCCGCCGGCAUUCCUUUCCGAAAUAACAGUCGCCGCCAGCUGCCACCGUCGCCAAUCCUCCAAUAGGUUAUGAGCCCCGAGUAGCGCCGACAGCUAUCAUCCGAUUGUUAUUUCUAUCCCUUAUCGACAAUGGUCAAGGAUAAGCUUGAUGAGCCGCUGGACCUCCACAACUACUCCACGUGGCAAAUCCGGUUUAGUGCGAUGUGCAUGGAGCUUGGGCUUGAGCAGUCUUUGCUCGCCGAACCGUGCAACGAGGAGCAAAUUCGUCAAUCGCGGAAAGUCAUCAACCUGCUUAUCAAGAACGUCAAGGAUCACCAUUUGCCGAUGGUCACCGGUGCCGCAAAUGCGAAGAAGGCUUGGGAUGCCUUGAACUCGAUGUUCACAACGCCUGCAAGGUGGCUCUACGCCAAGAAUUAAGCCGCUUCAAGAUGGUCGAUGGAGAGCCACUUCCGAAGUAUUUCGCGCGUGCGAGGCAGCUGCAAACGGACUUGUUGGGUGUCGGCCACGUAAUUAACGACUCCGAGCUGGUGUAUACCGUCCUUGUUGGUCUACCCAAUCGGUACAGCGUGAUGCGUGACGGUGAUUUGGACAUGGUGAACGUCACAUCGAAGCUUUUAGCUAUCGAGACGGCAAACGGUGGGUCAGGCAAAUCUACCGAGUUGGCAGCGUUUGCAUCUGUCGGCGGUUCAAUGUUCGGUGCUUCUAAUUCUGGUUAUGGUAGCCGGGGGCCGGCUAACAACAGCUCGGGACACAGUCGAAAGCAGAUCGUUUGCUACUACUGUAAUAAGCCUGGGCAUGUGGUAAAGGACUGCAGGCAGCUUAAAGCGCUCAAGCAGUCGUCAAUUUCUGGAUAUAAGGGUGGCUACAACAACAGUGGCAGCAGAGCUAGUGGCAGCAAGCCAGGAUCCGGUGGAUCAGCUAGGGGGCCAGGUGUUCCGCGGCAGGUAGCGUUCGUAGCAUACAACAACGAGCAUCCGACGGAAUGGUUUCUGGACUCCGCAUCUACUCACCACGUAACUUACACCCGAUCCGAACUAUUCAAUGUACGUGUGUUGGAGCCUUGGGAACGCUUCAGCAUUGUGGGCAUUAAGGGUCAGUCACUGUGUCCAACGGAGGUUGGAUCACUUACCAUUCGAUCUAAUGUCAACGACAAUCAAGCCAUCACAUUCAAAAGGGUUUACGUUGACGAGGAGGCGAUGGUAAAGAUUUUGUCCGUCCGUAUCACCGACGAUCGCGGAGGUAGUGACAUCUUCGGUGACGGUCAAGUAAAGGUAUACCUGCAAAAUCAUUUAGUGUUGACCAGUGAAUGGGACGGCGAUCUCUACCCCAUUUCCUAUCGAGGUGGAAGUAUAGGCACCAUCAGGAGGGAGCAGAAUACGAGCUACUGUGACAACGGACAUGGUACAACAUGCACCGCCAUGGAUUCCAAGACGGAGCGUGCAACACUUUGGCAUCGGUGUUACGGACAUCUGGGCUACAGCAACCUCGAGGCGUUGCUUCGCCACAAUAUGGUAAUGGGAUUUGACGUCGACCAGCACAGCUUUCAGAAAGCCAGCAUGUGUGUUUGUGAGACCUGUGUUUAUGCAAAACAGACACGAGGUCCUUUUCCGUUAACAGGGCACAAGGCAGCUCAGCCACUAGCACUAGUUCACAUGGAUGAGUGUGGACCUAUGCCUGAACCUUCGCCUAGUGGUUCGCGUUAUGUGACAACUCUGCUUGACGAUCAUACUGGUCUUUCAGCUGUUGCAUUUACAGCGACCAAGGAGGAGGUCUAUCAGAAGAUGGUGGUAAUGAAAGCGGAACUGGAGCGCGCUUCUGGCAGGCAGGUCAAGGAGGUGCAUACGGAUCGUGGCAGGGAGUUCAUUAAUACUCGCACGAAGGGCUAUUUCGUGUCCAGGGGUGUUACUACACAGAACUACUGUAGGCUACACCCCUGAGCAGAACGGAGCAGCAGAACGUUUGAAUCGCACUCUCCUAGACAAAACUAGGGCUAUGCUUGUCGAGUCUGGUCUACCUAAGUCAUUAUGGGCGGAAGUGUUGGCGACAGCCAAUUACCUCAGGAAUGUGUGUUGGAAAUGAUCGACACUCAUAUACCAGUGAAUGGUAGCCACAGGCAUACGACCCAACGGGGUCCAGCGCUUUGCUGGUCUUAACAAUGUGUCGCCAACUGCUGUGUCAACUGUCAUGCCAUAUGAAGCUUUCUUCAACGUCCGUCCUAACGUCAGUCACCUUCGAGUUUUUGGGUGCGUCGCCUACAUCCACAUACCUGACGUCAAACGCGACAAGUUCGAUCCGGUGAGCAGGCGUGGAAUACUUGUCGGUUACGGGAACGGAGGACAGUACCGUGUGCUGUACAAGGAUGGCAUUAUUGCCAUCGUUUCUAACGUUUGCUUUGAUGAGUCUAAUGUCGGCCGGCGGUGUAAUGCCGGGGACUCCGAUUAUGAGUCUGAUGCCGACGAGGAGGAGGAUUUUCGCACUAGUUUGCCUGGUGAGGGAUCGCUGCCUAGGGCUGGUGAAGGGAUACCAGGCAGCACUGUCAGCGAGGGAUCACCGCACUUGGGUGGCGAGGGGGCGCCGGCUGGGGCUGGACCUUCCAUAAGUGUGAACGGGCAAGGAAUUAAUCAGCCUGAUGUGGAAAUGGCGGGAACUAGGUAUCCAGUUAGAGAACGUAAACACCCUGGCGAAUGGUGGCGAAAUGAACCUGGUGGCACUGUCACUGGUCACGUUAACGCUGCUUUCUCUGCUGGUAUUCCUGAACUUAAUUCGUUUGCGGAGGCCAUUUCAGAUCCACAUGCAGACAACUGGUGGCCUCCUCCUCGUCAGCAUCGGACUCAUAAUCGGAGUCCCCGGCAUUAUGCCGCCGGCCGACGUUAGACUCAUCAAAGCGAACGUUAGAAACUACGGCAAUAAUGCCGUCCUUGUACAGCACACGGUACUGUCCUCCGUUCCUGUAACUGACAAGUAUUCCACGCCUGCUCACCGGAUCGAACUUGUCGCGUUUGACGUCAGGUACGUGGACAUAGGCGAUGCACCCAAAAACUCAAAGGUGACUGACGUUAGGACGGACGUUGAAGAAAGCUUCAUAUGGCGUGACAGUUAACCCAGCAGUUGGUGACACAUUCCUGAGGUCUGGUCUGGGUUGACACUACUGCAAUUAGCGGUUUAAGGUCCUGGGUUCGAUUCCUGGGGAGACCCCCGAAUUAGUCGGGAGCGCGAGAUUAUGGCUAGCUGCUGAGAUGUGGAGUUGAGGUCACAGUUGAUGGACCAGAUUCGCACGCUGGAUUGGUGGCGAUUGCCGAACCCUCCGUCUCUUCGGGUGUUCGGGUGAAUGGAUGAGGAGGGGUCCCCGAAGGCUGGAUCCGCCGCCUUGGACUUCCAGUUCGUAUGGCGAAGUACAGUGUGGUAGUGGUGGAUGGUGCUAUAAGGUGAUAAAUGAUCUAGAACUGACAAUGUGAUAAAGCGGCCCAGAAGCUUCCCACUCUGUAACAUUACAUUACAUUACAUUACAUUACAUU
rnacentral:lncRNA from 1 species